UCAGAAUUAUGCAUGAAAGAAAAUGAAGGUGAACAAGACAGAGAAGAUUAGCAUGGCCCCUGUGCAAGGAUGACACGCAAAUUCGCGAAGCAUUCCAUAAAAAA